CUGAGAAAGCUCUGCUGUCUGGAGAGCUGGGGGACAGGGCCCCUUCCUUCCUGGAGCAGGCUGCUCUGUGUGGGGGUGUUUCAGAUGCUCAGGGCCCAGUGGCAGGAUUUCCUAUAAAACAAAGGUUUCUGGAAUCACAACUUAUAAUUAAUUAAUGCACAGUGAUAUAGCUUGACCCAGAUUCCCAAACUGGAAUGUUUCAACUACAACUGAUGAAAAAUGUGUAACUCUCAUCUUCCAAGCAGACUUAGUUAGCAUGCCUCCUUUCUCUGGACUUCAAGAUUUCUUCAGAGAUGAGUUUUUGAGCAGCAGUUCAGCUGAGAUCCAUUCAAAUGAGGACACAGAGGCUUCCAGUUUGAAGAAACAAGAUCAGCUGAGGAAUUGGCGAGGGUCUCUCACUAAUCCUGGAGUUAUUCUGCAGACUGCAAGCCCCAGAGUCUUCUGUCUCCACUGAGCACAGCAGUGGGGUUACAGGUAUGCAUGGCCAUGCCCAUCUUUUUGCCUGGCUGCUGAAAUCCAAACUCAGCUCCUCAGGCUUGCAUAGCAAGCACUCUUACCCAUUGAGCCGUCUCUCCAGUUUCUGCUACCUUUAAAUGUUUAACUUCAAAUUUUGUGAGUUUGAUGUGCUGGUCACCUGGUCAGCCCCUGAGCGGCAAGGUGCAGGGCAUGACAAUCAUGCAGUAGCCACAAAGCCAAGGACACUGUCACUGCACCAUGUGCACCCUGUGAAGUAAUAAGAGAAGAAGCCAUGUUUCACUAUUCUUUUAUUCCCACAUGCUAAGCAAAUACAAAUCUCUGUUUACUUUGAUCUCCUGGAGGACUCAAGGGCACUAGAGUGCUGGAAGAGGACUCGUGGGUAAACUGCUUACUCUACAAGUGUGAGGACCAGCAUUCGGAUCUUGUGAAAAAGCCUGGUGGAGCCCUGGGGAACAAAGACUGGUGGACCCUUGGGGCUAGCUGCCUAUGCAGUCGAGCCAAAAUGGUAAGCUUCGGGUUCAAUGAGAGACGCUGCCUCAGAAAGGAAGGUGGAGAGGAGAUCAUGGAAAGAUGCCCUGACACUGACUUCUGCCUCCACACAUGUCAAAACAGCAAAAUGGACAUGCAUACACACACUUUUUAAAAGUACUGUGGCUUUCCCAGCUUGGAUCAUAAGCGUCCUGCGUCGACAUUCUGAAGCAGCUAUCCCUUCUUGCCAUGAUGAGUGGGGUCUCUUCCAUGGUACCUUCCCCACUGAUUCUUCCUGGCAGUUAUUGAGUAUCCCGAACAUGCAUUGGUCAGUGGUCACUUUUCUAGCCACUUUAUUUCUUGUCUUUGUAGGUGAUCUGUAUCUUCUCAAAGAAGGACUCCAAGUGCUGCCGACUCUUUGGCCUAACAUUUGUUAUGUGCAGCUCUUUCUGCUUCAGAAGAAAACUGGAAAUAUGAGCUUUGACAAAGCCUGGUGAACUAAAGGACAUUUUAGGAGCCAGGAUUUUUCUGGAAUAGUCUUCCCAUCUGUCCACCUGCCUGAUGUCUGCUCAGCCUUCCAUAUUCACCUAACAAGAAGCCUUUUGUUGUUUGUUUGAAUAUAGUCUCUUUAAAUAACUAGCCACUUCCUCAGUACCACAGUUUGAAUAACCCAUUCUUGCUGGGGAAAAAAAAAAAGGCUUCAUCAUGUCAUCUUAAUUAAAUAUUCAACUCCCAAAUGUCCUUGAACUCACUUUUGGAUUCUCCAUUCUCUCACAUUAAUCUCUUCAUUUAAUUCUGCCCUAGAAUUAUAGCAUAGUUAAAUAUCUGUAAGUUUACAAAACACUUCGCAUUGUUUUGGGGUUUUUUGUGUGUAUGUUUUAGCAAAGGGAUGACAGACAGAUUCAGUGUCUCACUGGGUAGCCCUGACUAGCCUAGAAUCCAGAAUUUGCUAUAUAAACUAGGUCAAUCUUAAGCAGGUGGCCCUCCUGCCUCUGCCUCCUGACUGGUGCCAUGAGUAUGGGCCACUAUGUCUGCUCUAUUGGUUUCAAACAUUGUUUUUAAUACCUAGUAGAAGCAUAUUUACAUUCAUUGUUCUUCUUUUUCAGAUGUUUUUCUGGUUCUAAUCUUAACAGAAUGUAUCAAAUAAAAUUCACAUUGGGCCAGCAAGGUAACAAAAGCCAUGGUGGAGAAGAGAACCAGCUCCCUGGGGUUCCCUCUGACCUCUUUACGCACAUGCUGUCCCUCUUCCACACACAAAGAAAUGCUAAUCAUAACAAAGAAAUCAUUUCUGAGCUCAGUUUGAACUUUAUUUAACAAAGCCCAGAAAGAAAUUCUUACUGACAUGGAUAUUGUAGAGCAGAAGUGUCCAAUCAAAAUGUAAUGACAUCUGUUCCUAUCAAACAUAGGAUCUACAUUUUAAAGUCUAGGAACAAGAGAGAGAGGAAAUUGCUUUUAAUAGUAUGGUAUAUUUAGUUUUGUAUACUUACAAUCAGUUCAAGGUGUAACCAAUAAAAACAUAUUUGAUAAAACAUUUCACACUCUUUCCUUAUGCUCUAUCUUAAAAAACCACUGUUUAUCCUCAUGGCAACUUCAGUCCAGACAGACCCAGUUUCCAGUGCUCCAUAAGGCUAAUCGCUGCCGUACCAAGCAGCUCAGCUUUAGAGGUUCAGCUUUACAUCCUUCCUUAAAACAAAGUUGUUUAAAGAUAACACUCACCGGGCGGUGGUGGUGCACGCUUUUAAUCCCAGCACUCGGGAGGCAGAGCCAGGCGGAUCUCUGUG